CAAAGGAGACUGCCGGUGAUAAACCGGAGGAAGGUGGGAUGACGUCAAGUCAUCAUGGCCCUUACGAGUAGGGCUACACACGUGCUACAAUGGCAUAUACAAAGAGAAGCGAACUCGCGAGAGCAAGCGGACCUCAUAAAGUAUGUCGUAGUCCAGAUUGGAGUCUGCAACUCGACUCCAUGAAGUCGGAAUCGCUAGUAAUCGUACGAUCAGAAUGCUACGGUGAAUACGUUCCCGGCCUU
rnacentral:rRNA from 1 species